UCAGAUUGAGCGUUUAAUGGUUUCCCUUAACGGGAAUUAAUAAGGAACCAUGUGCAAAUCAUGGGCUGUCGCGCAACUGUAAGCAUUCUCCCUCUUGGGAUAGGUUUUACAUACCACAGUCACUGUUCAGGAAAAUCCAGAAUGGGAAGACGUAAAACGGACGAAUGCAAGCCAGGAGACUUGCCAUUGAAUUUUCAACAGG
rnacentral:ncRNA from 2 species